rnacentral:rRNA from 1 species
GCGCAGCAGGCGCGAAAACUUCACAAUGUGCGAAAGCACGAUGAGGGAAUCCCAAGUGCUUGCACGUAAGUGUAAGCUGUUUCUCUGUCUAAAACGCAGAGAGAGUAAGGGCUGGGUAAGACGGGUGCCAGCCGCCGCGGUAAUACCUGCAGCUCGAGUGGUGACCGUUAUUAUUGGGCCUAAAACGUCCGUAGCCGGUUUAAUAAAUGCCUGGGUAAAUCGGACCGCUUAACGGUUCGAAUUCCGGGUAGACUGUUAAACUUGAGACCGGGAGAAGUUAGAGGUACUCCUGGGGUAGAGGUGAAAUUCUGUAAUCCUAGGGGGACCACCAGUGGCGAAGGCGCCUAACUAGAACGGGUCUGACGGUGAGGGACGAAGCCCUGGGGCGCAAACGGGAUUAGAUA